rnacentral:rRNA from 1 species
AGGACUAACGCUGGCGGCGUGCCUAACACAUGCAAGUCGAACGAAGUAGCAAUACUUAGUGGCAGACGGGUGAGUAACACGUAGUCAACCUGCCCUUCAAUGGGGGAUAACUAGCCGAAAGGUUAGCUAAUACCGCAUACGAUCUCUGAGUGGCAUCACUCGGCGAUGAAAGGAGUAAUCCGUUGAAGGAGGGGACUGCGUCCCAUUAGUUAGUUGGUGGGGUAAUGGCCUACCAAGACUCCGAUGGGUAGCUGGCUUGGGAGAGCGACCAGCCACACUGGAACUGAGACACGGUCCAGACUCCUACGGGAGGCAGCAGUGAGGAAUUUUCCGCAAUGGGGGAAACCCUGACGGAGCGACGCCGCGUGUGGGAAGAAGGCCUUCGGGUCGUAAACCGACUGUCGAGGGGGACGAUAUUGACGGUACCCCUGGAGGAAGCCCCGGCUAACUACGUGCCAGCAGCCGC